rnacentral:lncRNA from 1 species
AUUCACUGGGCUUUGCUCUUGGAUUCUUGAAAAAAAAAUUUAUUUGUUCUUUGUAAAAUCAUCUGUAUGCACAGGAUUGUACACACACAAGUGGACAUGCCUCUGGAGGCAGGAAGAGUGGUCCUCUGGAGCUGGAGAUACAGGGGUUGUGAUCCACCUGACAUGGAUGUCUUCUGCCAGAGCACUACAUGCCUUAACCACUGAACAAUCUCUCCAGUCCGUCUCGAAGAUUCUUAUUUUAACCAUGCAUGUUUGCUUCCCAUCACCUUGGAGGCCUGGAGAAGGAGGGUUACCCAGAUGUCCUUAAGGAGUCCUGUCCCUGACCUUGAUCUGUCUCUGCAGGACCCAAGUUAAGGAGUAAGGGCCAGUGACCACUGCCUACUAGCUCUGAGGGUGAAGUGAGCUGGCAUGCCAAGGACAGCCCUAGUCCCAGAAUGAAGUACAGUGUGGGUGGGUUCGCUGAUGGGAUGCUGGACUAGAGGGAACUGUUUCUAGCAGUCUGCAGAAGGUCAGAGCACUGCAGGAGAGCGUCCCUUUACAUUCCGAAGGCAUCCCCACUGUCUGUCUGCCUGCAGCCGGGCAAUGGGAUUACUUUGUCCACUCUAGCUCCAAGGUGACACUUCACUGUAUUAAACAAGAGAAGGACUUCUUUGAAG